rnacentral:SRP_RNA from 1 species
CCGCGAUAGUCGGGGAGAUAGCGGUGCCCUGUACCUGCAACCCGCUGCAGCAGGGAUGAAUCCCGGCCCCCGGAGGCGGAAUGUGCCGCCUGCCCCCUAUAAGCAGCGAUGAUGGAUCGGUCCCGCGCAACGCCCACCCGUGAAUCGUGUCAGGCGGGGAACCGAGCAGCACUAAGCGGACCCGGACGUGUGCCGCGGGGCUGCCGAUCCUGAGCCGGCUGUAGGGGUAACGGGCAUAUGCCGUCCUUCAAAGGCCGGUUCGCGG